CCUACGGGAGGCAGCAGUGAGGAAUAUUGGUCAAUGGCCGAGAGGCUGAACCAGCCAAGUCGCGUGAGGGAAGACGGUACUGCGUAUUGUAAACCUCUUUUGUCGGGGAACAAAGAGAGUCACGUGUCACUCAUUGAGAGUACCCGAAGAAAAAGCAUCGGCUAACUCCGUGCCAGCAGCCGCGGUAAUACGGAGGGUGCAAGCGUUGUCCGGAAUCAUUGGGCGUAAGGAGUUCGUAGGCGGCCGGUAAAGGCAGGUGUUAAAGGCGCAGGCUCAACCUGGGUCGCGCAGUUGAUACUGGCAAGCUGGAAUGCGGUAGAGGUAUAGGGAAUGCGUGGUGUAGCGGUGAAAUGCGUAGAUAUCAGGAGGAACAUCGGUUGCGUAAGCGCGGUACUGGGUCGUAAUUGACGCUGAGGAACGAAAGCCAGGGUAGCAAAUGGGAUUAGAUACCCUAGUAGUC
rnacentral:rRNA from 1 species